UAACCGCGAAACCGCUUGAGACGUACAAA
rnacentral:sRNA from 1 species